AACCCUGUUAUGUUAAACAUUAACAUAGCCCCUGUUUCUGUUAAGUGCGAGGCGUCUCCCACAAAGUUUGUUUCGUUUUUGUUUAUUUUUUUCUCUCCAACUAAUUAUAUUUUAUUUAAUUUAAUAACGCGCCCAGCUGUGCUUUAAUUAUGUUCACAGGUCGGACAGCAGCUCCAAAAUGAAUAUUUUCUGGAGAAAAUCAGUUAGGUCCAAAAUUCGUAAACCGAUUUAGAGUUUCGAUUUUUUCAAGGCCAACUAAACCGCAUUCCAAGGCCAACUAGCUCUUCCAAAUAUUCUUCCAAAUAGUAGGACCUUCCACACAAGGACUCUACAACACUUUUACUUAAAAAAUCAUAAAUUUUAUUAAUUUUCUUAGCCACGAAAUAAUCAAUAAAUAAUUUAUUUCCAAAAAUUGCAAAACAGCAACUUGUUGUACUUCUCGUUAAAGUUUCUAGUUACUCGUUACUAGUUGGUUAUAUAACACAAUGAUACCAGAUAUUCACUGGCUUUGUUUUUAAUUUAAGAAAUAUUAUUUUAAAAUAAAUAAUUAUAUAGAUAAGAUUAACAAUAUAAGACAAAAUAUGAUAAAAAUAUAUUAAAUUUUAAAUAUUUCAA